AUGGCAAAAAACUUUACAAUAGGGAGUACAUGCAUGAGAUCACAGCGUUUUACCACACAACAUACAGAAGCAGCAGUGCUGAGCUACUUUACAUACCACAGUGGGAUAAAUGCUGCUGAACAUCAUUUAACCUGCACUCACUCCAUCUCUACCACUGCCAGCUCCUAAAUGAUGACUCCUGUGGCAGCAGAGAGUGAUGCCAUGGUGCAACUGGAGAUACACAAAGGCAACACAGCAAAACAAGGACUGCCAUUCCAUUACACCAUUUGGCCUGCAAGGCAGUGACCUCAGUUGGCCGAUACCCCAGGAGGCCAUGUCUCAUCACUGGAUCGCUGUGCUGGUAUGAAAGGUCAAAACUGUGCGCUGGCCUCCCACUGCUCCACUCUCUGAGGAAACAAAUCCAAGUGGUGCUUGGGAUGAGGGGGCCAACAGCAAAGUCCUGCCAACAGGCUGAGUGACCGUGCAAUUUGUAUUCAGUGCCUGAUAUUAAGGACAGUUUGUAGAGGUGGUGGAAACAGGCCUUGCAAAGCUUACAAAAGACUUCACCUGUUGACGCUGUGAAGGGUAAGAAGGUGAAGGAAGGCUGGCCCAAGAUAACCACUGGCUCUGCAGAGAUGCCAGGUAAAGGUGGAGGUAGGACAAUCUGCACAACUGGUGUCCCCCUUGUACACAGCUUCCCCUUGCCAAGCUGUAAAUCACCACUCAGGGGCUGGCCCAGCCCAGAGCUGGCUGUGGAAGAAAUCCCUCCUGGCAGGGAGAAAGGAGCAGCCUUCCUGGAAUGAGCGAGCAGCCAACAAACAUUGCAGCUCCAGACAAACUUCAGCCCUAGUCAAUCUGCUCGCUGCUGUCAGCCCUCCUGCCACCCCUUCCCCACUUUCUCCUGCCCUUCAGCCACCAGGAGCUGCAGCUUUUUUUUCCCCUGGAGUCUUCCCCAGCCCUGGCAGCAGCAUGCUGUCUGGCCUGGCAAGGGUGGCUUCACUGCCAGGCUUUCUACCCAGGAGGGUAACAGGCUCACUCACCAACACAGGGUUCACAAGGGGCCCCAGGCACAUCGCUUAGCCCCAUUCCCUGCCACUGCCUUCAUUAUCUUCCCCAGCCCUGCAUAGCCCUGGUGCGCAGACAACUGCCCAUUACUACUGAGCAGUUGCCUGAAUCCCACUAAAAGCUUGUCAAAGUGCCCAGAGAGCUGAAAGUGAGCUCUUUAAAUUACAUUUGUUGAAAGAUCCCUGGUGCCUGUUCCUGCUUUUCGUUUUCAACAACUCUCUGAAAUCAUAGUUUGUUUUACAGUGAUGUUUUGUUUUUCUUUUCCUGCAUCCAACCUAUAAGUCAUGGAUGAUGCAUAUUGAACACAUUAAAUGGAUUUCAGUGGGCUGCACACCAUGUGUGCACAGGGCUGAGGCCUGGGAGAACGGCAUUUUUGUGUUUGCUUUCUGUGCCAGGAAGCCAUGCAGUGUGCUGCUCCCUUAUGCAUGGCCCUGCAUUGAUUUCUGCAAAUGUGAAAACCAAGAAAGAAGCUGCAUGGAUGGAGACAGCAGAACCACUAAGGAUACUACCAAAGAGGAAGAAUCAAGAGUCUAACUGAUGGGUUAAAGCAGUGCCUGGAAAUCAGGACUGCUUGGAUCAACGCCUAACCACAGCUGACAACAGGCAAGUCUCUUCACUGCUGUGCUUCUGCCUCCCCAUCUGGAAACCGAGGAGAGUAAACAAAUUCAGUGCCCUAUCCUCAGGGAAGCAGUGGAGACCUUCAGCUACAAGCCAUCUCUCCCAGAUUACACUUCUGAAGAUGUAAAGAAGAAAACAAGGUUCAGAAGACAGCACCUCGCCAAAAUAAAGAUAUUUUAGGAAGGUAUUUCUGACUCCAUACGGAUUAUGUGUAAACUUAAGUUACUGAGACAAAAUGGGGACUGUUUGGUUAAAGCUCAAAUCCUGCCUGGCCUUUACUAGGCUAUGUUUCAAGCAUCCUGUUUUGCCUAAUCUCUACAUCUCACUCUAUCACCUUAAUCCAACUUCUCCAGGAGUACUCUCCACAGUCCUACCCAACAGCUGGACUUGGGACCAAAAACAUCAGUCCUGGAGAACUGUGCCGCAUGGUUUCAAGUAUCUGAGGCUGAGUAGGGGUCAGAAAAUUGAGUUCAAACCAAACCCUUCUCUUGAACCUUUGACUGACCUUUGAAGGAGCCCCACAGGCUGGGUUUGGGCUGUAGGUUCCAAAAAUCUUAUUCCAGAGUCUCAUCUUGUUCUUGUGACUGAAUUAUCAUGGCCCUAUGAUAGCCAAAUUGACAGCAGUUCCACGUCAACUGUGUCAACACAGAAAUCCCAAAUUCAAAAGUACAUGGGUGGGACAGGGUGGAGAAAAGUGCCGACUAUUUUUAAUCAAAAGUUUCAACAGCCUUUCCCUAGAUAUGACGAGUUUCCAGAUUUGAAGUGCUUAGAAGCAAUCCAGAAUUUAUAUGUAGGUAAUAUAAUGGCUCUGAUGAUUAGCUGUUGAUUGAGAAAACUUGAGGAUUCUAUGACAAAAACAUAAUGUAAGCAGUGUAGUUUCCUGACAUUUCCAGUGCACUAUAAUUCUUUCUGUGUAAUGUAUAAGCCCUCUAUUUAUUUUUCAGAGUUCUGAAAGCUUAAUAUUUCACUGAUAUAUUCCCUAUUAAACUCACCUCAACAGAUCUUUGGCUUUUUGAUGGGGAGCCCUAAAAGGUUGGCCCAACUAGAGGCACUGAAGCAAAGUCCGUGUUCCUAACAGUUCUUACUUUGCUUUCUGGGGAAAGCCUUUCCUGAUCUUUUACUUCUUGGCUGUCAGCCUAAAUGCUCACUCUGCCCUUUCUAUGGACCUCCUGUAGGAGCUUUGAGCAAGGAAGCGGACAUACCAACUCUCUCACCAAAUCACGGACCAAAACACAUUUCCUUUUAUUAACAGCUCUGGAAGUAACUUUGGUUAGGUAUCCACCAUGCAGCCACAUAAAGAUCAGUCAGUUAUCUUCUGGGGUCACCUUUGUCAGUCACCUACCAGUUCAGGCAAUAAAUGUACUCUUGAAUAUGUUU